GUCACAAAUGUCAUCAAGGGAAUAACAGCUUCCUGCCAGCCAAAGAGAGAGCAUCCUUCCCUCAAGAAUCUGUAAAGCUGUGUAAAUCUCUGAGUCUGUAAAGCAUUUUCCACCCCUGACGUCUCAGGGGUAGAACACAUGCCAGUGACUAGCACUAUCACAUGAGGGCAGUGAUUCUCAAUUCCCUAUUGAAUGCGAAUUCUUAACGGCAGGGACUUUCACCCGUUCCUCCCUUACUCUGUGCUGGACGACCGCGCACAGUGGGCAACCCCAGCCGUUCUUCAAUGAGCGCAUUAUACUCCAGUGGAAGAGUGGACAGUCUUCUCCCACACCAGCCAGCUAAACACUAAUGUGAAGAGGGGAUGAACAGGUGCAGUGAGCUAGCACGGAGUCAUUGUGGUGAGGACCAAAGAAGAGGCAGGAGCAGUGUCCCGGGUGAGUCGCAGUCCCACAUGCCUGGGAAGGACACAGCCUGUACUCCCAUCCUGACACUGUCCCUGGGAGUAAGCGAGAAGCAGGACACAGGUAAAAGCACAAAUCCUCUGGUGCAAGUGGAAUGGGACCCUUCACUGUUCAUCCACCUCAUUUCAGUGGAAGUCCCUCAGUACUCUAGAACUUUAGAAUACAGAUUUUAAAAAACAGUGACUUAUAGAUUUGUCAGAGCCUCUUCUACCUCUAAAAAUUGAGCAAUUAAAAAGGUUAUUAAAUAAGCACAGUAAUUAUUUUAAAAACUUUCACAGCCAGUGCUAAAGGCUAGGGAUAAACAUAAAAACCUGUCUCCUGGUUUUCAUAAAGCUUCUUGUUAAUGAGAAAGAAGGACAGAUAAAAAUAGAAUGCAAUCUACAUUAAGAUCUAUAUUCUGGGAACUUAAAUAGGUUUACAUGUUAUUUGUGAAAAUUAGCUAUAGUCUAAAUGUAAGCAUAGAUACUUAAUACCAUUUGAUUGUUUUUUUACAGCAUUUUAUGAAAGCAGUGAUGAUUUAAACUUUGUAAUGGGCCAUAUAAAGUCUGUAAACAAUCUAAAUGUCCACUGAUG